UUCCUGUCGAAUUGUGGUUGUUCGAUAGGUACCCCUGUCGAACCGCGGUUGUUCGACAGG
rnacentral:pre_miRNA from 1 species